AUUGAACGCUGGCGGCAGGCCUAACACAUGCAAGUCGAGCGGUAACACAGGGAGCUUGCUCCUGGGUGACGAGCGGCGGACGGGUGAGUAAUGUCUGGGAAACUGCCCGAUGGAGGGGGAUAACUACUGGAAACGGUAGCUAAUACCGCAUAACGUCGCAAGACCAAAGAGGGGGACCUUCGGGCCUCUUGCCAUCGGAUGUGCCCAGAUGGGAUUAGCUAGUAGGUGGGGUAACGGCUCACCUAGGCGACGAUCCCUAGCUGGUCUGAGAGGAUGACCAGCCACACUGGAACUGAGACACGGUCCAGACUCCUACGGGAGGCAGCAGUGGGGAAUAUUGCACAAUGGGCGCAAGCCUGAUGCAGCCAUGCCGCGUGUAUGAAGAAGGCCUUCGGGUUGUAAAGUACUUUCAGCGGGGAGGAAGGCAGUAAACUUAAUACCUUCGCUCAUUGACGUUACCCGCAGAAGAAGCACCGGCUAACUCCGUGCCAGCAGCCGCAGUA
rnacentral:rRNA from 1 species